UACGUAGGGGGCAAGCGUUGUCCGGAAUUAUUGGGCGUAAAGCGCGCGCAGGCGGCUUUGUAAGUCUGGUGUUUAAACCUAGGGCUCAACCCUGGGUCGCAUUGGAAACUGCAAGGCUUGAGUGCAGAAGAGGAGAGUGGAAUUCCACGUGUAGCGGUGAAAUGCGUAGAGAUGUGGAGGAACACCAGUGGCGAAGGCGACUCUCUGGGCUGUAACUGACGCUGAGGCGCGAAAGCGUGGGGAGCAGACAGG
rnacentral:rRNA from 1 species